rnacentral:rRNA from 1 species
UACGUAGGGUGCAAGCGUUGUCCGGAAUUAUUGGGCGUAAAGAGCUCGUAGGCGGUCUGUCGCGUCGGCUGUGAAAACCCGUGGCUCAACCCUGAGCGUGCUUCCGAUACGGGCGGACUAGAGGUAUGCAGGGGAGAACGGAAUUCCUGGUGUAGCGGUGGAAUGCGUAGAUAUCGGGAGGAACACCUGUGGCGAAAAGCGGCUCACUGGACCACAACUGACGCUGAUGCGCGAAAGCUAGGGGAGCAAACGGG